GGCGGCGCCAAGGGGUGUCUGCCGCAUGCAGACUGAGAUGUCUCAGGACGAACCCUUAGAACCUGAUCCGGCUGAUACCGGCGUAGGAAUGGGCUGAUACUGCAAA
rnacentral:ncRNA from 2 species